rnacentral:ncRNA from 1 species
GUCCCUGUGAGAAUGCCCUUGACCUCCUAAUGAAGGCGAGGAGUGGGUAUCAGGCACAACCAUAAUUACAUCUUUUGCCAAUAACGCCUCGCCAUGGCCACCCCCCUACGGGUAUUCAGCAGUAAUUAAUAUUAAGACAUAAGUGAAAACUUGACUUAUUCAUAGCCAUCAGGGUUGGUUAAACUCGUGCCAGCCACCGCGGUUAUACGAGUAACCCUUGUUGAUAGUACACGGCGUAAAGGGUGGUUAGGGUGUUUACUUUAAGUAAAGUCGAACUCUUCCAAGACUGUUAUAAGUAUACGGAACAUGAAGCCCAUUUACGAAUGUAACUUUAUAACCCUGAUUCCACGAAGGCUAGCGAAACAAACUGGGAUUAGAUACCCCACUAUGCCUAGCCCUAAACAAUGAUAUAGUAAUACAUAAAUAUCCGCCUGGUUACUACGAACAUCAGUUUGAAAACCAAAGGACUUGGCGGUGCUUUAAGUCCCUCUAGAGGAGCCUGUCCUAUAAUCGACACCCCCCGUUAAACCUCACCCUUUCUUGCUAAACCCGCUUAUAUACCACCGUCGAAAGUUUACCCUGUGAAGGUUCAAUAGUGAGCGCAACUGGUAGUAACCUAGAACGUCAGGUCAAGGUGUCGUGAAUGAAAGGGGAAGAGAUGGGCUACACUUGUUAUCGUAACAUAUACGGAUAUUGUGCUGAAAUACACAAUUGAAGGUGGAUUUAGUAGUAAGUUGGAAAUAGAGUGUCUAACUGAACAAGGCUCUAAAGCACGCACACACCGCCCGUCACCCUCACCCUAUUAUGUUUUAUACAUAUCCCAAUAUUGGAGAGGAAAGUCGUAACAUGGUAAGUGCACCGGAAGGUGUACUUGGU